GUCUACGGCCCUACCACCCUGAACACGCCCGAUCUCAUCUGAUCUCGGAAGCUAAGCAGGGUCGGGCCUGGUUAGUACUUGGAUGGGAGACCACCUGGGAAUACUGGGUGCUGUAGGCU
rnacentral:rRNA from 1 species